UUGAGGAGCAUUUACUCAGUGAGUGCAAGAGGUUUGUUUGAAACAGACCGCAAUGGAGAGAUCAGCGCCCAGGGAAGCGAGGGAACAGCAGGCUCCUUCCAGCAGCACAUCGGGAUGGGAGCCUGGGACACAGAGGGGGCUCCGAGACCGGGAUUGAUUCGGGCCAAAUACCUGAGGGACUAAGACACUGUAAUACUUCCUGGGUUCACAGGGAAGUGGGACCAACUGCCUCGAGCAAACAGCAAGGCAAGUACUCAAAGGAUCAAGACAAUGUAAUAUUCCCUCGGUACAGAGCCAAGUGUGACCAGCUGCUUCGAAUAAACAGCAGGUAUGCUACUGCUGUCAGAGUGAAGAACAAUCCUUUCCACAGUCACAGAGUGGAUUGGGUCAGGUUCACAUCGAGCUCCAUUCCCAGAGAGAUAUGUUCAAACCAAGAGUCAAACACCACCAA